UCGGCAUCCGUCAUGCUGCUCUCUUGGGAUUCGUCUGUGCCAGCUUGAAUGAGAAAGAAACAGUCAAACAUUACUGGGCUGCUGCACUCAGAGAUUCCCUCAGGAUCGACUCCAGCAUGUCACAGGCACAGCAGCAAUGGGUUGGGCUUCCCCUCCAAAUCCUUUAAAGCCAUGUGGCUUUUCCCCUUCUCCUUUUCACACCUUGACCCCUGAGAGCAUGACAAAGUCUAAAUGCAGUUUGAAAGGAAUUAACACAAAGUCCAUAUUAACAAAACCCGAAACCUCCAGCCCUGAGGUAGGGAGGGAUUGGAAUGGAGGGCUCCAAAAUAGCCUCAGGAGCAACUUAACCCUCCCCACUCCUUCCAAACACACCAGUUGCCCAAACCCCUCCUAUGAGUUACUCUCUGCAUUGGGACCACUCGAUUUACAAGCAAAUGAUGUUUCAUUAGUGGUGUUCAGCAGCUCCUUGCUCCCUGCUUCCCUAAUAGAAAAUAUGGCAUGAGGGAAGAGAAUGGCUCUGAGGAAGUGCAAACAGACCUUCCUGAUGCUGAUGGAUUACUCUGCUCCCUCAGCUCAGAUAAGGACUAGCCUAGAGCUUCCAGGAAAACUAGAUUCCUACUGGAAUGAAGACAGCAUGUAGCGCACCGUGUGCAAGAGAAAUGUGUACACACAGAGAGGCUACCCUUAAACAGUUAACUUCUAUCCUUGUUAAAAUGAGAACAAAGGUAAAUAUCUGGUGAUGGUUGUUCUUCACACACAGGAAUGUGACUUGACUCUACCUCCCAUGGUACACUUUAGCAUACUCACUGUAAAUUCCCAAAUAUGAAGCUGUUUCAUGGAGAAACACAGGUGCCUUUUAUGGCUUUAAUGCAAAUGCUUCACAGGUUUCUGUACCAUGGACACAGCCAGCCCCACGCACAAACUGGCUCACACCAGCCAAUAUAUCAAAAACAAGCCUCCCCAUCCCCACUAUUACCUUAAUAUACAUGAGACAAUCUCAAGUAACCUAAAAGAGUUAUUCAGCUCAGUCUGUGAAACUCUUCUGCAAUUUACAGAAUAAGAUCCCAGCCUGGUUUGGGUUGAAGGGACCUUAAAGCUCAUCCAGUUCCAUCCCCUGCCACGGGCAGGGACACCUUCCACUAGAGCAGGUUGCUCCAAGCCCCUGUGUCCAACCUGGCCUUGAACACUGCCAGGGAUGGGGCAGCCACAGCUUCUCUGGGCAUCCUGUGCCAGCGCCUCAGCAGUUUCCCACACAGGGAAACUGAAGUGCUUACAAACAGCCCUAUCCUGUUUUACUUUGCUUAUUGGGCACAUGAAGUUGGUGCGUUUUGCUUGUUUUGGUUUUUGUGUGUUUGGGUGUUUUCAGUCCUGGUUUAGGUCCCUCGGCAGCUCAAGUACUCUGUCUCCACCUCCUGGCCAGAAACAUGUUCAGCCCCAGCGAGCAGCGUUCUAAGUAGCCCAACUACAACAGCAGGGAGAGAAAACACUCCUGACACUUCAGGAAGUGCAGGGAAGAAUGAAUGAAUUCCGAGUGAAGAGCCUCUGGACUUCCUGCCAAGCAGCAGGGUUGAGCAGUGUGUUUCACCUAUUAAACCUGGGAUUCUACAAAGCCUGAAAUACCUCCUUGAAUGAGAAAGGGUUGGAAAUACAAACCUGAUUCAUAGGGGUAACAUUCA